AUGCAGUCGAGGGGUAUUAGGAGCUUGCUCCUAAGAGACCGGCGCACGGGUGCGUAACGCGUAUGCAAUCUACCUUGUACAGAGGAAUAGCCCAGAGAAAUUUGGAUUAAUGCCUCAUAGUAUAUUGGGUCGGCAUCGACCUAUUAUUAAAGAUUUAUCGGUACAAGAUGAGCAUGCGUCCCAUUAGUUAGUUGGUAAGGUAACGGCUUACCAAGACGAUGAUGGGUAGGGGUCCUGAGAGGGAGAUCCCCCACACUGGUACUGAGACACGGACCAGACUCCUACGGGAGGCAGCAGUGAGGAAUAUUGGGCAAUGGAGGCAACUCUGACCCAGCCAUGCCGCGUGCAGGAAGACGGUCCUAUGGAUUGUAAACUGCUUUUAUACGGGAAGAAACACUCCGACGUGUCGGAACUUGACGGUACCGUAAGAAUAAGGAUCGGCUAACUCCGUGCCAGCAGCCGCGGUAAUACGGAGGAUCCAAGCGUUAUCCGGAAUCAUUGGGUUUAAAGGGUCCGUAGGCGGCCUUAUAAGUCAGUGGUGAAAUCUCCUAGCUCAACUAGGAAACUGCCAUUGAUACUGUAGGGCUUGAAUUAUUGUGAAGUAACUAGAAUAUGUAGUGUAGCGGUGAAAUGCUUAGAUAUUACAUGGAAUACCAAUUGCGAAGGCAGGUUACUAACAAUCGAUUGACGCUGAUGGACGAAAGCGUGAGUAGCG
rnacentral:rRNA from 1 species